rnacentral:rRNA from 1 species
GCAGCCGCGGUAAUACGUAGGGAGCGAGCGUUGUCCGGAAUUACUGGGCGUAAAGGGCGCGUAGGCGGUAAAUCAAGUCACAUGUGAAAUACCCGGGCUCAACCUGGGGGGUGCAUGUGAAACUGGUAUACUUGAGUGCGGUAGAGGAAAGUGGAAUUCCUAGUGUAGCGGUGAAAUGCGUAGAUAUUAGGAGGAACACCAGUGGCGAAGGCGACUUUCUGGGCCGUAACUGACGCUGAGGCGCGAAAGCGUGGGGAGCAAACAGGAUUAGAUACCCC